GCACAGAGCCCUUCUCGGGGCUCGAACUCACAAACCAUGAGAUCAUGACCUGAGCUGAAGUUGGACGCUCAACCAACUGAGCCACUCAGGCACCCCAGUAAACACCAGGCUUUUAAAAAGCACUAACAAGGUGUAGUUUUUUCCCAAUCCCGUUCACAUAAAGAAAUUUUUUUUUUCAAUUUACACCCUCACAAUUUGUUUAGGAUAAUCUCUUUUGUUCUAUCAGAUCACAUAGAUUGAAUAUUUUGUGGUAUUAUGUUUUCUGAUAACAAUGCGAGUCAGAAUUUCAGCAUACCAUGGAUAAAGCUAUCAUAUUCUUUUAUUCAUUACAUAUAACAUACCUAUUAUGAUUUAGACCUUUGAAAAGCCAGCGUUUUAUUAAAACAUUUCAGACAUAUAAAGAUAUUUGAUUUUAAAGAUAUAAUAUACCAUGUCUUGCUUAUUUGAAUUAAACAUUUGUCUCACAUAUUAGUACACCACACACUUUUCCUUGUUUGGAUCGAACCAGAAUGACCAUGUGCUUGAUUCUAAAUGCAGUUGAAACAUUUCAUACGAUGAUCAUUUAACACGAAAUGUAGUAAAGAAAUAUCUACACACAAGUAUGCAUUUGGUAUUACCAAUGAAGAAUACACCUGAAGUCAAUGGUACCGUUUAAUCUUCCAUGCUAUGGCAUUUCAUUUUCUAGCAAAACAAGUCUUCUGUCUUCUGCUACCAUUUUAUAUAAAAUAAAUAAAACACCAACUUCUUUCCUUAUCCUUGCAUUGCUUACUCCUCCAAAAAAGAUACGUUUUAUAAAAGAAGUCGUUAUAUUAAGAUGUAUGUCUGCUUUCCUUCAGAAGACAGAUUAGAGCAUUUCAGCUGCCACUAAAGUUGUCGCUCUUUGUAACAAAAUGUAAUGCUGCAUAUAUAAAAAUGCAAAGUGUAAUGUAGAGUCAAAUGUCUCUCAGCACAAGAGUUGUUCGUUUUAGCACCCAUUUUGUUGGUAUUUAUCAACUUACUAAUUAUAGGCAAAUUGCUUCCAACACGAAAACUGUGAUGAUUAGCAGUUUUUUCUGCUAACUCUAGUCUACUGUAGUUCCGGUAAAGAAUGUCAAUAAUCCAGAUUCCUUUCUUUUUCCUGGCUUAGAAAAUGUAAAAAUAAAUUCAUCAGGCUAGCAUUUCUCAACUUUCGGGAAAUGUGGUUUGGAAGGAUGAGGGAGGAAAAAGGAAAAAGAGAUGGAUUAAAUAUAUCGAAUCAGGAAGGUCUACUUGCUACCUCCCAUCAUUUGGACAAUCGUGAAGGCUCACUGAAGAUUGGUCUAUGACAAAAUGGAAUUAGGCAAUCCCAAUGUAAUUAACGGAGUAGCUGCAUUUGAGCAUUUGCACAGGAAAUGCAUCAAUCGCUAGAACCCAGCAUGCAAUCUCUAUAUUAAAGGGAGGAAGAAGUUUCUUAAGCACUACCUCAUAUGCUAUCAUUGAUACCUAGCAAAAGGCUGGCAUAUAUUGUUUUAAACCUCUCAUCUAACUCUUCAGCAGAGAUCUAUGAUAUUACUCGGUUAGACAUAAAACAGUUUGUAACCUUCAGACCUCCAUUACAGUCCUUUAAAGUGUGCUCAAAUGAAAAUGGGAGUAACAUGCCAAUCUAGAAAAUGUUUUCAUAACACGCAAUACUAUAAAAGGUUGAAUUUUUCUAUCACCAUUGCUAAUUUCAACCAUUUGUUUCUCAUUACAAUAAGUAAACAAGAUUAAAUGGAAAACCUUACAGUUCACAGAGUACAUUACACAGCAGAAAUGUCUGUAGCGAAUACGGACUUAGUGUCUUAACCAACUUAUGUGCCUCUAAGUGACUAUUUCUCCUUGCUAUGAAGUUUUUACAAUUUUAAAGUUAUAUUGGCAGGUUCCAGUCAACAAUGAUGUCUGCGAUGGCCUUCUUUCUCUAAUACAUUGCUUUUAGUCUAAUUGCUUAUUUGCAGUCUCAGCAAGCAGAGAGAAGAAUUUUAUCCUCUUUGCCUUGUCUCUGAAUACUAACUAGCUGGCCCAGCCGAGGCUCUCUAAAGAGAGAAACUGCAUGAGGGACACACUGCAUUUGACACAGUCAAGAGGUAAAAGAAAGAGCAAAACAAAAGUCUAUUCAGGACUGAAUCCUCUGAUAUUCUCCCCCAUCCCCCAACUCCUUUAAAAAUAAAGCAAAAGGGGGCAAAACCCAUAAAUCCAUGCCUGAAUGCCUGAGGUUGUCAGAAUAAAGGACAAUGAAUGACAGGUGACUGUCAGUAUAAUUCUCAGUCUCCAAGUUAUCACUUUUUGGCAUUGUUGAACAAAAAAAAGUGUAUACAUAACAAGGAAAUAUGUCAUGUGUUCUCUGUGAACGCGCACAGUUCAGUAUAGGAGAAGCAGCUAAGUAUUUCCACAUGGGCACAUGGGUUUCUCUUCAGUUCCGUGUAUUUUUUGCUGGAAAAUGUUCUGAAAUUAUGAGAUGUUUUUCUAGUGACAAUAGUGCUAAGUAACUUUGGGGAAACUGCUGAAGGGUUAUGAACCUGGCUUUCGCUUAAAAAAUUUUUUUUUAUUUAAAGCAUGGGAGAUCUGACUUGAUAAAUAAAACCCUUUGCACAUGUUGCUAAAAUUCUAAAAAAGGAGCAGGAGCCCACUGAUGAGAGUUUUUCUGUUUGAUUUUUAAAAGGCUUCUCACAAGCGAUUUUCCCCCAAGAUCUCUUUACACUUUCAUCUUCAGAGACUGCCUUAAUCCUCCGGUCUUUGUUGUUCCAAUGUCUGAUCAGUUUGUUUUAAAGUCGCAUCUACCCCACGUUUGCUAGAACUGAAACUUGACUUCAGGCACUUGCAGUUAUAAAUCCCUACAAACGUGCAGGCUUUCCAGAGAAAGGUGGAAAGUGCCGAAACAGAGAAGGUUUUGAUGAUUAUUUAAAUCAUGUGUAUUAAGUUGUCUGCUGCAUGAACUACAGGUACAGAGAGAUAACAAACGUGAAGUGACGGGGUAAUUUGUAAUUAAAAUAAGCUUGGCCUCCUUCUCAGAUUACUGGCACACUCCAGUCGGUUGACCAUCUGUGGUGGAAGGACAAAGAUUCUAUUCUCAGUUCCGCUGGGCUACGGAAGGGACACCACUGCCCAGAGCUCCAAGUUUCGAGGUCUUGCCAUGGUGGGCAUGAAGACAGUUCAUUGUGGCCAACCUUCUGAAGCCAGGUGUAACCAUGCGAUGAGCGGAAGGAGUAUGGAGACAGUGAUCUGUGUCCCUCUAAGCACUCACAGGGCAUUAUUCAGGCAAAGCUCAACUGCUGUUACCGCCCCAGCAGGUGUUACUACACAUUUCCAAUCUUUAGAGAGAGAUGAAGAGAGAAGGAAGAGAGUGCGAGUGAAAUAAAACAAGAAAAACAGGAGAAAGUUAAUUUCCUUGUUACAUCUUUUGUCUUUUGCCUGCUAUGAAGGAAAAAAAAAAUCUUAAAAGGUUGAACAUGAAAGAAUGCUGUAUAUUUCACAAUGAAAUAUGAACCACCUUUUGUUUUACUUUUAAGUUCAGAAAUGCAGAGUACUUGACAGGAAACACUCGUCUUAUGUAGACUUCAAGUCAGUCUUCAAGCAACCUAUGUGUAGGCUAUUUAACAAACUGAUCAUAUGAGACUUUUCCUCAGUUGCAUAUGAAAUCUAUGUUUGCACAAGUAAGUGAACAAGAUUGUUGAAUUCUGUUUUCAUUUUUUACUUAUAGCAGGUAUACCUUAAACUGCAGUAUUUGCAUAUUUAUUUUAGAAGGUUGAGCAGAAAUGAUUAUAUCCAACACCUGAAGAGUAUUUUUGUAUGGUCUUUCUUUAUAGUGAUUAUAUUUCUACUGCCUUUGAUAAUGGUCUUCAUGAAAAAUCUCCUAAGGUAAACAAUACAUUUAAAAAUCUUCCUGUCAUAAUUGAUACCGAUACACUUAUAGCCAUGAAACUUGAAAGUCACAGAUAAAAUUGUUUUAGAAUACAAGAUUAAUCUAAUAUUGCUUUUGGUUAUUAGGGCAUGGAAGUUAUGUGGGACACUGAUAUGAGCCAAAGAUUGAAUGUGAGAGGAAACAAGAGGCCAACUUUUAACUUUUAACACAUGAAAUUAAAUAUGUGCAUGUUAAAAGAACAGAACUCUAUCUUAUUUGUUUAUUAUUUAUUUAUUUAUUUAGUUAGUUAGUUAGUUUUUUCUCGGGGAGAACUCAAAUGACCCAAAAUUAAAGAUUACUCUUCAGUAACUGUGUGAAAAGUUUUUCUUAAUGAUAGUCAGAAAGUAGAAAGAAUUAUGUAGUGAAUAGUAACUACUUCAUACUAGAGCCUUUUCAAAAUGAAGAUAUUUAAUUCUUCAUUUCAUUUAUAUUUAAUAAGGUACCCACUAUACAGUUGAGGAAUUCCAAUUAUUUUGAAAAAUAGUGACCCAUAGGUCAGCCCUAUCUUGACAAUUUCUGGUUAAGAGUUCAAGGAAAAAACUCAGGGUCUUAAAAAUAUAAAAAUCUAUGUAGAUUGUCAUCAUCAUGAAAGAAUGGUUCACUUAUUUUAUGAAUAUGAUGAUUAUUUUCUGUGCUAUUUAUUCUUAUGAAAACUGUUAGUUUCUUUGAUGAUGAAGAGAAAGGUGUUCAAGUGAUAAAAUACCCAGCUGACAGUCAUUCUUAAAAUAUUAGGUGAUAAAUGCUUUCCUUCUGAAAUCUAUUCAGCCUAAAUGCAUUACUCACUGUAUUUUAGCCAAUAUUCAUCCUGUAGCUUAUAAUGAUAUAGUGUCAGGGCUGAGAAUUUGAGCAAAUAAUUACUGAGAGCCAGGUGCCAGGGAAGUGGCAUGGCAGACAAGGGGACUUGUACUCUGGAUUGAAGGAAAGGAGGUUUAGAAUAGGUCUGGGAAAGGAGAAAGGGCCUUUUCUGGAAGAGGAAUGAAAUGAGCAGACACAGAUGUGAGGAUGAGUAUAGGUGGGAAAUAUCCAAACUCUGAAUUUCCCUUUGCGUAAAUAGAAAAAUGACGAUGAUGAUAGAUAAAUAGACAGAUAGAUAGAUAGAUAGUUUAAUAGGUAGGUGUUGAAUGGAGAAACUCACACUGGGAAGCGAAACUCUGUGGUGAUAUUUUAGUGAAGCUUAUUAAAUAGAAAAAUGAAAUAAAAUAUAAAUAGAAAAUUUAUAUCAUUUAAAACUUAUGAAGGAGAUGUUUAUCUUAAUAUAACAAAUAUUGAGAAAUAGGGAAAGAGGGAUUUGAAAACCUAGCAAUUUGAACUUUAUCACUUUUCUGUCUGAGGAUGGAAACUCAGGUUAGAUAUUCAUGCAACAACUGAAAUGACGCAACCGUGUUCUUCCUCCACCUGCGCUCCAGGACUGCAGUUCGGAAGACAAUGGAGCAGUGACUCGCACAGCGCUGGUUGAGUAUAAAUCGGUAUAAUUUCUCUGAAGGAAAAAAAUUAAAUGCCCUAUAAGUCAAAAACCUUGAAAAUGUAUAGAUACGAACGAUUCUACUGCUUGGAAUUUAUCCAAAAUAAAUGGUCAGAUAAUCCAGGUCAUUAAAAUAGAAUCAACCUAAAUGCGAACUGUACAGGAUUGACUCAAUAAAUUAUAUUAUAUCCAGAUGGCCAUCACUGUGUAAUUCCAGCCAUGAAAAAACAUCACUCUUGACAAUUGUUUCAAGUUCGGGUGAAGUGGAGAAGUUUUCUUCAUCAGCAACCCUUGGAAUUAUGCACAGGUAGCCUAUGAGUUCAGCCACACAAGGGACGAUGAAAAUGAGAAUGCCAGGAAACUUGCAUCCAUCCCCCUUUCCUAUGACUAUGCCGGCUGCCAAAGUGCUGACCAAAGUUGAAAGGUCAGCAGUCAUCUGUGGCAGAUGUGCUUCAUCCUGAUAAACACUUGGUUGCUGGAAACAGUUCUGUUCACAGAUAGCUUAUAAUUCAGCAAUGAUUGAAAAGAAAAGCCACCUAUAUCCUCUUGCUAAAUUUCCCUUGAGAAGAAUGAGUAAAGUGAGCUGUGUAGCCUUGGAACCAUGGAAGAGAUUUCCUGUGUAAUGUUCACAGUUUUGGCAAGAUGAAAAUCCUCACUACAUGGCUUCCCGUGUGGUCACCGGAAGGCUAUAAGAUGCAACCUGGAAUCUGAGGAGUUGGCUAUUUGUGAUGUGACCUUUGACCGAAAGGAAAGGGAGACUGGAAGCAGCUGCCACAGACGGAUUGGAGAAGACCAUCGUGAUCCAAGCAUGGCUAUGUAGAGUGAAGUGAAUGUGGCAAGAACUGUGCCUUUUAUACUGAAUUCAGAUGAGAAUCGGCAUUGACAUUGACAUUUGGAAGGAAGUCUAUAAUUUGGUGGUUAAACUGCCUGUGAGAUUUUCAUUUGAAGAAGAGAACUGAUUCAGCAUGAUUGGACAAUAUAUUGAAUGAGACCAGGAAGCCAUCUCUGCUUCCUCACUUCUCACUUGACCAGGGAGGAUAUAAAUGGCUGUAUGAAGGGGUUUGAGUGACUUGUUCCCGUGAGAACAGUUCUCAGGAAUGAGCUAUCUUCCUAUCUUGCUGAAACACUUGUGUAUUUCUAUGGCACUAAUUAGUACAUAGGGCCCUGACAGAUCACAUUAGUUCAGGGAGAACAUAAGAACCAAGGAAAACAUUCUCAUAUCAUUGUCCCAAAGGUCUGCCUAUGGUGUGCCGGUAAAGUUUUACAAUUUUUUUCCCCUAGACAUUCAAAAUAUUAACUACAAUGUUGCAUUAAUAUAAUGAACUAAUAUUCCUUGGUAUAAUUAAUUUUUCCUACUAAAUUUGAAGACUUUGAAAGCUCUGUAUCUUGGGAUCAAGCCUAUAUGCUUGUUAUUAUAUAUUUUUUUUCCUCAGGCUUGACUGAAAAACGUUUAAGUGUAAGAAUGAAAGAAUAUUGAAGUCAUGAGUUUCUAAUUUCUCUAUGAACAGAUAUCCCAAUUAAGGGUAGGGACGAAUGUUUGCUUUCUAGCAGCCAACCCCAAAGCAUCACCAUACACCCCUCAUAUACAAAUCACUUCUUUCUGUAUGUUCCCGUAUCAUUGCGUCCUUGACUAUCACUGUGCUCACUACUGUGAUUUUAAAAUUAUUUAUCUAUCUAACAUUUUUUUACUGGAUUCUAACUCCAAAAAGGUAGGAAACUGGUCUUAUUUUGUGUGUGUGUCUUCUUCAAACCUUGGUACAGGGUAAGGCAUAUGGUAAUUGCUUAUUGAAUGAAUCAAUACUCCAUUGAAUAGUCAUUUUAUUUUGUUCUCACAUUACUUCUGAACUUGAUCAACAUUAGAGUCUGCCAAACGCUUUUUUUAGAAGCUAUUUUAAUCCUAUAUCAAGUUACGAAAACUUAAACAAUUUUCUGUUAAAAAAUAAAAUGUUUGUUUUCA